AAUCUAGGACGAAAUUCUCGGCUUAUAUAACGGGAUCUACGACUAAAUCCGGGAAAUCCCACUAUUGAUGCCACUUGCAGUUCCGGCGCCAUGGAUGACAUCAUGUCCGGUCCCCGAAGAAGUCACUUCCGGGUCAGGUGCCAUGGAUGACGUUACUUCCGGUUGCAGCAGUGCUACAUGAUUAAUGUCUUCGUAAAUGCAUUUUGUGCCGAGUCCCGUCUUUCAUAGCAAUAUCUAGUUUACUUGGUCUGUGUGUAUGUAAAUAUGCUCCCCUGGAAACAAUGGGGACGAGAGGAUAACACUAUGGAACCGUGGCCCCUCACGAUAAUUGGUCCUGUCAAUUCCAUCACCUGCAUCUGAUCAUUUGCUAUUUAAACAAAAGGAAAGAAAGAAAAAAAAAAAAAAAGACCAUCCCGUUCUACUAGACCGGAAUUCCGCUACAGAGACAGGAGAAAGCACCGCUUCAAAUCAUUCACACCUUUGUCUACCUGCCACUUUCAACGCCCGACAACAACAGCUUUGCACCGCAAAAAACCCCGGGGUUCUGGAUCACGCCACGUACCAAGGAUAAACACGGUGAGACUGUGUCUUGUUGUUUGGCGAGAGGAGCAAGCCAUCAUCUUCAUCUACGUCCUUUCUGUUGGACAAUUUUUCCAGCUGAAUCAGCUUCAUGAUGCUCCAACAAUGAUGGACGGAUUAAAAGGAAGA